UUAACAAACUUAAAAUUAUUAUCUAAUUAACCCUAAUAAUAAUAAGGGCCAUUAUAAACUGAAAAAACACCAACUUUGACAUUUAGGUCAGCUUUAACCAUUUUUUAGCUAAAUUUUUUUUUUCCUCCAUUGUAUCUGUCUAAAUUUUCGUCAUGUGGACGUUAACGGAUGUCACUUGGCAAAUUUAUUUUAUGAUGCGAUGAGCCACGUCAUAAAAUAACAAAACAAACGAAAUUGAAAAAUAAGGAAAACAUUAAACAAAUGAUGAUCAUAUAUUUGUCAGUGGAGGAAGCAGUGGCAGCCUCCAUAGUCGCCUCCUGUGAAUUUCUACGGAGCCCACUCGAUCGAGUCCUUUGUGGCUUCGAUUGAAGCCAUGAGCAGAUCAGAAAUCAACGGCAUCAAGUGGCUCAUAUGGGUUCCAUGAGCACAGCACCACUGAUUGAUCAAAUUUUUCAGAGCCCGGUUUUGUACCAAGCUUUGAGUGAGCCAGCAUUUACCCUAUUUUCGGACAGGUAACAUAGCCUCCUUACACACAACUCGAGAUUGAACUCCGAUCAUAUGUCUGCCCCAUGGAUGUAAUACGGGUCCGCAUAAGUUCCAGUGAAAUUGGGCAGCAUAAGCCUUCUGGGAUUGCGAUGAAGGUCUUGGUGAUCCUCUGAGUGUCCGACUGUUGUUCUUCUGAGGUUCUUUGAAAUCCCAUGCUCAACUUCAUCAUCCUCUGCCUCAAACCUAUAAAGUAGGAACCUGCAUUAUCUUUUAAUGAGAGCAAUAAGCCCAUUAAGCACGAAGACCGCAGGCUCAAGGUACUUGCUCCUCUAGAAACUCGAUAUCAACCCUACAGCUCUUAGCAUCUAGAAUUUUCAAUUUCUCCAUAAAGAACACCCUCAGCUGAAUGGGAUUGGGGACUCAUCCAUUCUUGAACUCCUCAAGGAAACCGAAGAUCUAAACUCUCAGGGCCAUGUCAUGCUUGCCUAUGUACAAGCGGUCCCUCCUCAAUUUCCUCUGUCACAGCUCAAUUUGCUCCCUUAUCUCUUCACUCGAUGCAAUAUCUUUUAUUAGGAAAACAUCCAAGAGGUUGUAUGUCUCCGUGUGCUUUGAGGCAAGAGGCAACGGAGGACAUGGUGAAAAUGAUGACGGGGGCGACGGUAGUGGGUGGGCGAGGUCGAAGAAUUAGAAUUUAUAAUGUCACAAAAAAAAUUAUUUAAAUUUAUAUUUGAAAAUAAAAUUAUUAAAAAUGUUAAUUUUUUACCUUAAUAAAAGGGAGAGAGGAUUCCAAACCCAACCUACUAGCUCCUUCGUUCGAUGGGAGCAAACUUAGUAAAGAUCAUACUAACUAGAAUAUCAUACGAUCUUAAACUAACAUUUUUACCUACUAACUUUUAUUCUGAAUUUUCAUUAUUUGCAAUUAUAAAAGCAUGUCGCAAUAUAAUAGGGUUCAAGUAAAUCCGCCAAUUUGGAGCAACGAACCUUACUGAUAGUAUAGAGUUCGAAAUUUGUUAUAAGUAUCUUUAGUCAUGGCAAAAUAGCAUAAGCAAAAAUUAGUCUGAAUUAUAUGCUAGUAAUGCAUUCUUACAUUUUACCCAAAAAAAAUAGGACGCAAAAAGGGCAUAAAUGAAAAGAGCAUGCUUAAAUUGGUUAUCCAUUCUAGUAGGUAUUUUAUACUAAAAUGAAGAAAUUAAAAAAAAAUCAAUUAGUUUUAGAAUAAGUGGAUGGCACUUGCGAGUGAAAACCUACUGACUAAUUUAAAUUGGUGAUCAAUUCAAAUAAGUAUUUUACACUAAAACGAAGAAAUUGAUUAUAUAUUAAUUUAAAAAGUGUAUGGUGACUGCGGAUGGGGAAAACCCACCCACAUGCCACUUCGAUGGCAUGGACCAAAAAUAAUGAGAUUAUUUCUAAGGUGGCAUUUAUGGUACUGUGGUAAUGGGAUUACUAGUAAUCCACAUUGGUUCAAGAUAGAUUCCUACCAAUUAGAUUACCAGUUAUCCACAUUAUCACAUUUGGUAUCUCAGUUAAUAUUACUAGGAACCUUUUAUUAUCCUUAUUUUAUUAUAAUACUAAGGUGCGAGAUGUUUAAUUCCAAGGUGUGAAUUAACAUUUCUACCCCUUAGCGAUAAUCUACAUUACCAGUUGAGUGAGAAUGUGCAGUGGGAAUGUGGAUUGCCAUGAAUGGCCGAAUCAAAUAUGGGAAUUCUAUGCCCUAGGGAACUUUAAAAGAUCAACUUUUUUGAGAAUCCAUAUAGAUUCUCAUGUAUCCAAUGUCUUCUAAGGGCAUAAAUGAAAAGAGUAUACUUCAAUUAGUUAUCAAAUUAUGUAGAUAUUUUAUAAUAAAAUAAAGAAACUAAAAAAUCAAUUUUUUUUAAAAAAAAAAGUGGAUGGCACCUGCAGAUGGGAACCCACCGACUCGCCUAAACCGAUGAUCAAUUCAAGUAGGUAAAAUGAAGAUAUUAAUAAUAGAAUUAAAUGCACUUUGCCUCCCGACCUAUGAGGUGAAAUUAGAUUUGCCUCCUGACCUAUGAAAUUUGGCAGAGUGCCCCCUCACUUAAUCUGAAAGUAAGCAAUGUGAUUCCCGGACCAAAUUCCGGUCAAAAUUCCGGCCAAAAGAAGUCACAUGCUAGUCACAUGUCAAUUUGAAGAGGGCAAAAUUGUCACUGAGAAAUAAUUAAUCAAAAAUUGGGUUUUUGCAAAAUUGGGAUUUGGGGGUUGGAGUGGUUCUAUUGCGUUAUUUUGUCAGCUUUCUUGUGCUUGAAGAGUUUCGUCUUUGGCUGCUACUGAGAGAAUUGGAUUUUUGCAAAAUUAGGCACCUCUGAUAGUUUGUCAUCCUCGACUCUCUGCAUCUCUUCCCCGAUCACCAGCACCAAUACGAAGACUCCGUGAUUGCUCGGCGACUGUCCGUUCAAGUGAAUCCGACGACCGUCUGCCUUCUCUGCUCAUCUGCCACGGUUCACCCUUCUCUACCCACAUACGCUCGUUGUCUCAGACAAACCCAGUAACACCUACACUCUUGGCGACUUCCUACAAGCCACUCGCCAAGUGACUCCUUAUAGCUACACGCCGACAACUGUCCUCGACAAAGGGAUAACAAUGACUACUUCAGCAUCAAGAUGCAUCAUUCUGGUUGGUUUUAUAACAUUGGCUACUCUAUGUGCUAUGUUGGGGGAAAUGUCAAUUACUUUGACUACUGUGAUGGUGAUGAGAUGUCUAUGAUAUAAAUUGAUUAUAUGGUCGAAAAAAUUGGAGUAACAGAAUUUACUGCUUUUUACUUCAGUAGGGAAGGGACAAAUAAUUACAAUACUUUACAACUUAUGCAACAUGACCAUGAUGUAAUGAAAUUGCCUUACUUUGCUGAUCCAAAGAGGAUUGUUGAGAU